GACGAACGCUGGCGGCGUGCUUAACACAUGCAAGUCGAACGGAAAAGCAAUGAUUCUGUGGGGUGCCCGAGUGGCGAAUGGGAGAGUAACAAGAGAGUAAACUGACCCUGAAUCAGGGAUCCCUUCAGAAAACUAGGGCUACUACCGGAUAGGAGCAACACCUGCUAGGUGGGGGAUGAAACGUUUCGGCGGAUGGGAAUGGACUCGCGGCGGAUCAGCUUGUUGGUGUGGUUGUGGCUUAGCAAAGCUUAGACGGGUAGCCGGCCCGAGAUGGUGACCGGCCAGGUUAGAAUUGAGAUACGGCCCGGACCCCUACGCGAGGCAGCGGUGCGGUAGAGUGCACUAUAGGCUGAAGCCUGAUGCAGCAACGCCGCGUGCGGUAUGACAGCAAUCGGUUUGUAAACCACAUCCGCCUUUGACGAAGAGUGAGUGACGGUAAUGUGUAAAGAAGCACCGGCUAACUACGUG
rnacentral:rRNA from 1 species